UCCUCUACAGCUGAGGGAGGUUUUUGUACUAGUAAAUAACACUGUGUGAAUGGAAGGCUUUGACUUUUUGUUCUGUUUCUCCUGUACAGCCGGUCCCACGGUGAAGCCGUCCGUGUCUCUGCUCCCUCCCUCCUCUCUGCAGCUGUCUGAGGGAUCGGCCUCGCUGCUCUGCCUGCUGUCUGGUUACUCUCCACAGGGGGCGCUGGUGAGCUGGACGGUGGACGGCACAGUGCUGCAGGACGGGGUGGUGACCGGAGCAGAAGAACUGAAAGGGGGCAGUUGGAGGCGUGGCAGCACCCUGACCCUCAGCAAAGCACAGUGGGAAAAGGGGGAGGAGUUUGGCUGUAAGGUCUCUCACGGUGGCGUCGAUCAUCCCGUCGUAUUCAGAAAGAACCAGUGUGAAGGCUAGCAGCUCCCAGAUAGAACUGAACAUGGAGACACUUCCACAUGCUUCUACAAUGGAGUUUCAGUUCUACACAAUGCUGCAUUUCUGUCUUUCCUCUGUUCAGUGUCCUGUUGCUCUUCCUGUAGUUUUGCUGUGCUGAAAUAAAGCUUGAUUUUGGA